rnacentral:rRNA from 1 species
UACGUAGGUGGCAAGCGUUGUCCGGAUUUACUGGGCGUAAAGGAUGCGUAGGCGGACAUUUAAGUCAGAUGUGAAAUACCCGAGCUUAACUUGGGUGCUGCAUUUGAAACUGGGUGUCUAGAGUGCAGGAGAGGUAAGUGGAAUUCCUAGUGUAGCGGUGAAAUGCGUAGAGAUUAGGAAGAACACCAGUGGCGAAGGCGACUUACUGGACUGUAACUGACGCUGAGGCAUGAAAGCGUGGGGAGCAAACCGG